rnacentral:rRNA from 1 species
AUACGGAGGGGGCUAGCGUUGUUCGGAAUUAUUGGGCGUAAAGGGCACGUAGGCGGUCAAGCAAGUUGGUGGUGAAAGCCCUCGGCUCAACCGGGGAAUUGCCCCCAAAACUGCUCGACUUGAGUCCCGGAGAGGGUGGCGGAAUUCCCAGUGUAGCGGUGAAAUGCGUAGAUAUUGGGAGGAACACCAGUGGCGAAGGCGGUCACCUGGACGGGUACUGACGCUGAGGUGCGAAAGCGUGGGGAGCAAACAGGAUUAGAUACCCCGGUAGUCC